rnacentral:lncRNA from 1 species
CGAUGAAACAACCUCCGUUGAUUUGAUGCUUAACCUCUCUCCCAAGGAAGCUUCUGCUGCUGCUACUACUGAUGGAGCAGAUCCACGUGAGAAUCCAAAGACUUCGCCGAAGGAGAAGAAUCUUCCUCUUCUCGAUCCCGCAAAGCCUCCUGCCAAGUAAGUACUAGUUUAAAAUAAUUUAAUACAGUAGCAUACAAAAAAUCAAUAGACCAAGUUAAGCUUAGUGACGGAAACUGUUUUUUGUCACUAAUUCUGAACUUACAAGAAAAAUUGUGGCAUUUUUUUCUUGCAUAUGCAUGUGUAAAAUUGAAAGAAAAUGAAUUGUCGUGGUAAAUUUUCUAUUUGCAAUUACUUGAUCUUGCAUGGAAUUAAACAUAUAAAUGUAAUUAAGGAUAAUAUUGUGCUUAUAUUUAUUAUAUGGCUAAUUUGGGGUGCCCGAAUGGAAAAGAGAUAGAAAUGGAAGCCAAAAGGAUCGAAAGAUCAUGAGAAAUAAAGAAGAAAUUAAUGACACAGACUGAAAAAUAGAUUCGUAAGAGAGAGAGACAACCAAGAAUACUAAAACUCUAGAUGCCUUCAGCUCUCGGAUACCGUUUUUUUGCUAGAAAUACGAUCUACAUGCCUUCAAAUAGUUUGGGUAGCUAGUUAUAUAUGUACGGAUGAUAAUGCCAACAGUCUUAUAGUUAUAUACUAAUUCUAUAAGUUUUCAUUAUAUGUAUCAUAUAUGUAUAUCUUCUUUCGCGGACUGUUUAACAUGCGAUGUAUGAAACAAUUAAGCAAAUCCAUAUCUAUAGAUGCUUAUCUAUUUCUAUGUGUAAAGAAACAAAUAGAAAAUUGGAUUAACAAAUCCAUAAAAAGAAACACAAUUUUCCUUUAUCCUCAGUCUUGAUGUGCAGCCAAGUUAUAAAUUUCAAGGCUAAUCAACUAGUUCUUCAAGGAAACUAAUUAACUUCAUGUGUGUGUAAUUAAUUUAUUUAAUUUUAGUUUCAUUAUAUGCAUAAUUUCAUCCCCAACCCCUCCAAUUAUGAAGUGAAUCAAGUGAUUUUACGAAUAUUAAUGAAUUAAAACAAAAUGAACAUUUUAGGGCGCAAGUGGUGGGAUGGCCACCUGUAAGGUCUUUCCGGAAGAACAUGUUUGCAGCCCAAAAGAGCAGCGGCGGAGAGGAAAGCGAGAAGAACAGCCCUAAUGC